rnacentral:rRNA from 1 species
CAAUAGCGUAUAUUAAAGUUGUUGCAGUUAAAAAGCUCGUAGUUGGAUUUCUGAUCGAGACAUCAGGUCGGGUCCGAGAGGAUCAUGUACUUUGAUUUUGUUUUGAUCAUCCUUGGGGAGAGCAUUUCUGGCAUUCAGUUGUCGGGAUUGGGAUCCUCAUCGUUUACUGUGAAAAAAUUAGAGUGUUCAAAGCAGGCCUCGGCCUCUGAAUACAUUAGCAUGGAAUAAUAAGAUAGGACUUUGGUGGUCUAUUUUGUUGGUUUGCACGCCAAAGUAAUGAUUAAUAGGGAUAGUUGGGGGUAUUCGUAUUCAAUUGUCAGAGGUGAAAUUCUUGGAUCUAUGGAAGACGAACUACUGCGAAAGCAUUUACCAAGGAUGUUUUCAUUAA